AAGGUACGUAUUACUAUAUUUCUUUUCAGAUACGCCGUCUUUUAUAAUAUUAUAGAAUAACAGAAUAAUUUAUGGGUAGCGUGAUAGACUUUGUGUCAGUCAUACCGUUCUGGGCUCGGUCUCGUAGAUGCUUGCCCGAAUUAGCAAAGCAAUUAUGCUAAUCAUACCGCAAGAAAAAAUAGAUAAAUUACACAUUCGUAUAAUUAAAUAUCUUUUUUGAGAAUGACUCAUUUCAGCGUUUUAGUAGGCAAUGUCUCCACUUUUAAUGUAUUUAUUUCCUGACGCUAAAAAACAAAUUUUCUUUCAGAUGUACUGUCCAUUUUGUGGAACUGCCGCCAUAAAUUCUGCAGACUUUUGUUGUCAAUGUGGCAGAAACAUAAAAUUUGUCCAAGAUCAUGCAAACAAAGCCCAAGAUGAGAGGAACACUACCACUGCAACUCCCGAUGUUCAACCAAGCACCAGCACAGGUAAACCGAAGCAUGGGUUAUUUAUUUCAGCAUGCUUAAGUGUUAGCAUUUUAAACCAUCUGUAGAUGCAGGUACGAUCAUUGCAGUAUUGAUCGUACCUGCAAUUAAUAAUUAAUGCAUUUAAAUUAUAACUAAAGUGCCAAUCGUGUAUUUUUUUAUUACGAAUUUCAGGUGUAGAGUAUUUCAUGAACUUUAGAGCUAUAAAAGAGAGGGAAAGAAAGAAAUUUUUUACCAAGAAGCAUCAGAACAAAACACAGAAGGGAAAUAAACUGAAGAUUAAUGUUGGGCUUAUGAGGAUGCAGGGAGAUUCCCUUAAGACAGUGAGAGGGAAGUUACUUCCAGUUGAGAUUCACCCUGAGUGGGCAUCGGAACAAGUGCUUGCUGCUGCUGUAAAGAAGCAAAAGGAUUUCAAUAUAGACCUGAGAGAUUGUGCCCAUGUCUUGUUGUAUCCUGAUGCAAGGGAGGUUAAGAACAUCCCAGGAACAGACAUUCCUUUCACAGUGCAAAAGUACAAGGAGGCAAUUGGAAAGCCUUACCAAAGAAUUACGCUUUAUAUUUGCCCUGUUGAGGAAUUUGCAAAAAGCUGUAAGUGCUUUUGAUCUACAUUCCAAAUAGUUUGAAGAUCAAUUAUGCUAUAGUCUUAUAGUUAAAAUAGCAAAAUUUCCUCCUAUAUCCAGAAUUCUGUGCAUGAUUAAUUCUAGCUAUGAUGUCAUAUAUUUUAUCUAAGGAAGCCAAAGGAUUUUCCUCUUUACAAAACCACCUCCCUUUUGUAAAGAUUGAUGUACAAACAUACAUUUUAUUAAUUGCAAAAUUUAGCCUUGCAAAAGAAAAUUUAUUAUUUAUAGUACACAUUUAUAGUAUAUUUCUUUUCACUGGUUGUUGAAAUGAUAGUAACCAUUUUCCUUUGGUUAAUAUCAACGAACAAAACUGUGUGGUUCAUAGUAAUAGAAGACUUACUGUGUUCAAAUAACUUUAAUAACAUAAACUUACCUAAUUUUUAAAGUGCAAUCAGUAAUACUUUUAUAACAAAUUUAUAUCAGUAAUGAUUUCAUAAAUAUUAAUUUAUGUUUUUGGCUAUUGUUCUCUACCAUAGAUAUCCAGUGCAGGUACAUUGACUGAACUACACCAGUCAGUUGAAAGACAUGCAAGCAUCUUGCAAACUGCUGGCUGCUUGCAGUUCCCUGUGACUGUUGAUGACAAAUUGAAAAUUGUAAAGGAGUUCAUUGAUUGGUACAUCAUUUACCGCAACCAUUUCUCUAUUCAAAGGUAAUGUUUCUCUUCCUUAACUUAAAAAAUAACUAUGCUAAUUUAGUUACUAUUUUGUUGCAGUUAAUACAAGCAAAUGUACAAUAGUGCAAGAAUCAAUCAAUCAAUCAACAGCACCCAGCAGCCAAAUAAGUAGGAGCCUUAUUGAUUGGACGGCUUAGCUGGAGAAAAUUAACGUUACUGUAGGUUAAUUCACUGUGUACAGUGCAUCAGCAAUAUUACCUAUGCUAAAUAAAAAUAAUAAAAAAAGAUUAGACAUAUUAAUGUUCUUUGUGUUACUGAAAAAUAUCAGCUCUUUUGAUAAUAAUUAAGGUGAUUUCUGUUUCAAACUUUUUAUAGAUUCAAGGAUGGCCUUUCAACACUGAACUUCCAGAAUGCUUUGGAGCAGCAUGCUUCCGUCUUCAGGCCAUUUAUGUGUGCAAGAGCGGAACAGCUGACAUCCAAAAUAUUGGAGGAAAUAUUUGAGGUUCAGCUCAGUGAAAAGGGUAGCAGCAGACGACAUGAGGAAACAAGAGUGCUAGGAUUCUGGAGAGACUUUCUCCUUGACACAGAAGAACAAAAAACGGGUCUCUCUCUCCAGGACAUCCUGAUGUUUGCCACCGGCUUGAACACACUACCUCCAUCUUCAAUUCUGCCACCACCAAAACUGAUCUUUCAGGCCACUUCUCGUUUUCCUGUCAGUAGCACCUGCUCCAACACUAUCAAAAUACCAAUGUCCAAGACGUAUCAUCAGUUUAAAGAAGACAUGGACUUUGGGAUUCAAAACUCCCCUGGGUUUGGGCUUUAUUAAGGUCAAAUGCAUAACAACAAAACAAAAUGCUAACUAUUUAACUUGUCAAACCUGUUCAGUUAUGACACUGUUUAGUGUUUGUGUGCGACCUUCAAAUUUGGAUUCUUGUUUGUUUAUAAGUCCGCCAUGUUUUUCAGUUUGAUAUAGUUUUCGACACAUGAUUCCCAACUCUGUGGAUGUGCUAGGCCACACUGUCUCUGGAGGUUCUCAAAAUGUGCCUGAAGGUGUUCAUCUCCACAUUGAAUGUUGUUAGUCUCUGUCACAAACUGUCCCAAUUGCUCCUGGGAGACUGGGAAACCACAGUCUGUUCCACCAAAC